CGCUGGCGGCGUGCUUAACACAUGCAAGUCGAACGGACAGACAGAGAGCUUGCUCUCUUGAAGUUAGUGGCGAACGGGUGAGUAACGCGUAAUCAACCUGCCCUUCAGAGGGGGAUAACAACGGGAAACCGUUGCUAAUACCGCAUACGAUUCAUAAUCGGCAUCGCUUGUGAAUGAAAGGUGGCCUCUAUGUAUAAGCUAUCGCUGAAGGAGGGGAUUGCGUCUGAUUAGCUAGUUGGAGGGGUAACGGCCCACCAAGGCAAUGAUCAGUAGCCGGUCUGAGAGGAUGAACGGCCACAUUGGGACUGAGACACGGCCCAAACUCCUACGGGAGGCAGCAGUGGGGAAUCUUCCGCAAUGGACGAAAGUCUGACGGAGCAACGCCGCGUGAGUGAUGAAGGUCUUCGGAUUGUAAAGC
rnacentral:rRNA from 1 species